GUUGGACAUACAGGGCGUUGAACCCGCCAAAAAAUGAUCUUGUACGCUCUGGUUUCUCUCUCUCUCUUCCCCAAACCACUCUCUACGCCCGACUUCACAUUUGGCCACACAGGCGUCCGAAAAUCUCGAGGCACAGAUAGUAACAAGCAAACACAAUGCCAGGAACAACACCAAUCCGAAAACACGAACGCGCUUUUUUAUUCUCUUUCCCCGCGAACGAUUCAUUCUCGAGUUUUCUCUAUCCCUCCAAGAAAGCCAAAAAACAGUGGUGGGCCUCAAAAAAAAAAAAAAAAAAAAAAAUGAGCGUGAUCGACAUUCUCUUCCGCGUCGACGAGAUAUGCAAGAAGUACGACAAGUACGACAUCGAAAAGCAACGCGACCUCAAUGCCUACGGCGACGAUGCCUUCGCUCACCUCUACUCCUCCCUCGAAGCCGAGAUCGAAGCUGCUUUACAUAAAUCUGAGAUAGCUUCAAUGGAGACUAACAGGGCAUCUGCUGUGGCAAUGAAUGCGGAGGUUCGUCGAACCAAGGCUCGAUUGAUGAAUGAAGUUCCUAAGCUGCGAAAAUUGGCAAUGAAGAAGGUUAAAGGUCUUUCAAAAGAAGAUCUAGCUGCCCGUGAUGAUCUGGUUACUACACUUCCUGAGAGGAUUCAAGCAAUUCCAGAUGGUACCACAACUGCAGCCAAACAAACUGGAGGGUGGGGAGCUUCAGCAUCCCAUAAGAAUAUCAAGUUUGACUCACCAGGUGGAAAUUUUGACAGUGAUUUUUUCCAACAAACUGAAGAAUCAAGUCAAUUUAGACAAGAAUAUGAAAUGCGGAAAAUGAAACAGGAUCAAGGUCUUGAUUUCAUAUCAGAUGGAUUGGGUACACUGAAAAAUUUGGCUGAAGAUAUGAAUGAGGAAAUGGACAGGCAGGUUCCAUUAGUUGAUGAGAUUGAGACAAAGGCGGACAAGGUGACAUCUGAUAUGAAAAAUACUAACAUUAGGCUCAAGAAAAGUCUGACCCAGUUGAGAUCCAGUCGAAACUUUUGCAUUGACAUCGUUCUGGUGUGUAUAAUUCUUGGUAUCAGUUCCUACCUAUAUAAUAUUUUGAGCUGAACUGAUUUUGAAGGCUUCUUCUACAGCUUAUCGUAUCAUAAAGCUGUCUGGGUCCUGCAUAUAACUUUGCCUAGCCAUUAGAUUCGUAAUAUCACUGUUUGUUAUUAAAGAAAGCACAAAUACAGAUAUUUGACAUAGAGUUCAUGCUUUACAGUACAGAAUUAAGUACAAAGUAUGCUUCAUAAUUUCUGAUUUCAUUCUAUUAUUUGGCCCUUGCCACUGGAGACUAAUUUGCCUCAUGUGCCUUAUCUACAUCUAAUGUGACCUUCGUCUUCGUGACUGUGCCACCACAGUUAAGGAACCUUUUACCUUUUAGGAAGCAUUGUUCAGUGUAAGUUCUUUUCUGUGAAGGAUAAUUCAAUAAUCUCCUGAAUUAAUGAUGGGUCCUGAGGGCUUAGGGUUGAAAAUGUCUUGGGACUGGUCUUGGCUGUAGUAGUUCAUAUCAUAAAUGGCCAGUGUCUUACAAGGUUGAAGAUCCUUGUUUUCGUUCCUGUCCUUCAGAAUCUCAUUGGACAGGAAAUUCUCAUUCCUUUUUUCCUUACUAGAUUUCCUUUCCAGUUGGUUGAUAUAACUCCCCAAAGAAGAAACUGGUAUUGGAGUAUUCAAAUUAUUGGGACCAUUGCCAUAAACUGAGGUAAAACUGUUGGCUUUGUUGCCUGUAUCAAAGCUUAAACUUGAAAUGGUCUGAAUGGGAGGUAGAGCUUGACUGGCAAGUAUUGAAGCCAGCAGUUGGCAGUCUUUGUCUUGGCAAUCUCAUAUAAUGUCAGAAUAAUAGUUUAUAUAUGUAGGCUGCACCUCAAUUUUUGGUGGGUAUCUUGGGAGUUCCAGUCCACAGCUGUCUUGAUCUUCACUUGUGUUCUUUGAUAUGUUGCCUUUUGUUCAAACCCGACAUAAUACCCAUUCAUCCAACUGUGACAACAAAGAGGCAAUAUUUCCAUUCAUUUAUUCGGAUUAUAUUUGAUGAAGUUAGUAUGAAGAUCCAAAGCACAGAUGAAAAACGAAAUUGACAUCAAGAAAAAUAAUUUAUAUGAAAUCAUGUUGAAGCAUGGACCUAGGUCACUUUCUUUACG